GAAACUGGUGGUCUUCUCAUAAACCACAUGGUUCAUGAAAGUGAAAGUGAAUCAAACAAAAAGCAGCUGUAUAAAAGGACUACGUUCUCUUUCAGCAGGAUAACUGGAUGCUCCUCUCUGCUGUGGCACCUCCCCAGUAAAGUUCUCCUUUUCUAGCCAUGGGAGGCAGUGACUCAAGAGAAAAGUCUUCUUCUACUUCCUCAAAUGACUGUCUCUGUGUUACUCUCUAGAACCUCCUACUCCACCCCCUACUCC